GUUAAUCGGAAUUACUGGGCGUAAAGCGCACGCAGGCGGUCUGUCAAGUCGGAUGUGAAAUCCCCGGGCUCAACCUGGGAACUGCAUUCGAAACUGGCAGGCUUGAGUCUUGUAGAGGGGGGUAGAAUUCCAGGUGUAGCGGUGAAAUGCGUAGAGAUCUGGAGGAAUACCGGUGGCGAAGGCGGCCCCCUGGACAAAGACUGACGCUCAGGUGCGAAAGCGUGGGGAGCAAACAGGAUUAGAUACCCUGGUAGUCCACGCCGUAAACGAUGUCUACUUGGAGGUUGUGCCCUUGAGGCGUGGCUUCCGGAGCUAACGCGUUAAGUAGACCGCCUGGGGAGUACGGCCGCAAGGUUAAAACUCAAAUGAAUUGACGGGGGCCCGCACAAGCGGUGGAGCAUGUGGUUUAAUUCGAUGCAACGCGAAGAACC
rnacentral:rRNA from 5 species